rnacentral:rRNA from 1 species
CCCUUAGAUGUUCUGGGCCGCACGCGCGCUACACUGAUGCAUUCAACGAGUUUCUUCCUGGUCCGAGAGGAAUGGGUAACCUUUUGAAAGUGCAUCGUGAUAGGGAUAGACUAUUGCAAUUAUUGGUCUUCAACGAGGAAUUCCUAGUAGACGUAGUUCAUCAGACUGCAUCGAUUACGUCCCUGCCCUUUGUACACAUCGCCCGUCGCUCCUACCGAUUGAAUGCUCAGGUGAGCCAUUCGGACUUUCAUCAUGCUGGUUUCCAGUUUUGAUGAAGGAAAGUCUUGCGAACCUUAUCAUUUAGAGGAAGGAGAAGUCGUAACA